UCGAAAGUAAAUGCCCUCCGAGACGGAUCCCGAGUACCGCGGGACACGUGAAACCCCGUGGGAAUCUGGCAGGACCAUCUGCUAAGGCUAAAUACUCCCUGGUGACCGAUAGUGAAGCAGUACCGUGAGGGAAAGGUGAAAAGCACCCCGGAAGGGGAGUGAAAUAGAACCUGAAACCGUGUGCUUACAAGAAGUCAGAGCCCUUUCUAUGGGUGAUGGCGUGCCUUUUGUAGAAUGAACCGGCGAGUUACGUUUGCGUGCAAGGUUAAGGUGAAGAGCUGGAGCCGAAGCGAAAGCGAGUCUGAAUAGGGCGAAUAAGUACGUAGGCGUAGACCCGAAACCGUGUGAUCUACCCCUGUCCAGGGUGAAGGUGCGGUAACACGCACUGGAGGCCCGAACCCACGCACGUUGAAAAGUGCGGGGAUGAGGUGGGGGUAGCGGAGAAAUUCCAAUCGAACUCGGAGAUAGCUGGUUCUCCCCGAAAUAGCUUUAGGGCUAGCCUCGGAGUAAAGAGUCGUGGAGGUAGAGCACUGAUUGGAUGCGGGGCCCGCCAAGGGUUACCAAGUUCAGUCAAACUCCGAAUGCCACAGACUUAUAUCCGGGAGUCAGACAGUGGGUGCUAAGGUCCAUUGUCAAGAGGGAAACAGCCCAGACCAUCAGCUAAGGCCCCUAAAUGUAUGUUAAGUGGGAAAGGAUGUGGAGUUGCCCAGACAACCAGGAUGUUGGCUUAGAAGCAGCCACCAUUUAAAGAGUGCGUAAUAGCUCACUGGUCGAGUGACUCUGCGCCGAAAAUGUAACGGGGCUAAACAUACUGCCGAAGCUAUGGAUUGCAUCGUAAGAUGUAGUGGUAGGGGAGCGUUGUGUACCGGGUUGAAGGUAGACCGAGAGGACUGCUGGACUGUACACAAGUGAGAAUGCCGGUAUGAGUAACGAAAAGACAUGUGAGAAUCAUGUCCGCCGAAAACCUAAGGGUUCCUGAGGAAGGCUCGUCCACUCAGGGUAAGUCGGGACCUAAGGCGAGGCCGAAAGGCGUAGUCGAAGGACAACAGGUUGAAAUUCCUGUACCAGCGUAACCGUUAUGAGCAAUGGGGGGACGCAGAAGGAUAGGGACGCGAGCUGAUGGAUGCUCGUCCAAGCAGUGAGGCCGAUGUGUAGGCAAAUCCGCACAUCANNNNNNNNNNNNNNNNNNNNNNNNNNNNNNNNNNNNNNNNNNNNNNNNNNNNNNNNNNNNNNNNNNNNNNNNNNNNNNNNNNNNNNNNNNNNNNNNNNNNNNNNNNNNNNNAGUACCGAAGGUCUUGAUUUCAUGCUGCCAAGAAAAGCCUCUAGCCAGGUGAAGCUGCCCGUACCGCAAACCGACACAGGUAGGUGGGAAGAGAAUUCUAAGGCGCGCGGAAGAACUCUCGUUAAGGAACUCGGCAAAAUGACCCCGUAACUUCGGGAGAAGGGGUGCCUCGGUAGGGUGAAUAGCCCGAGGGGGCCGCAGUGAAAAGGCCCAAGCGACUGUUUAGCAAAAACACAGGUCUGUGCGAAGCCGCAAGGCGAAGUAUACGGGCUGACGCCUGCCCGGUGCUGGAAGGUUAAGGGGAGUGGUUAGCCGCAAGGCGAAGCUAUGAACCGAAGCCCCAGUAAACGGCGGCCGUAACUAUAACGGUCCUAAGGUAGCGAAAUUCCUUGUCAGGUAAAUUCUGACCCGCACGAAUGGCGUAACGACUUGGGCGCUGUCUCAACGAGAGAUCCGGUGAAAUUUUAAUACCUGUGAAGAUGCAGGUUACCCGCGACAAGACGGAAAGACCCCAUGGAGCUUUACUACAGCUUGAUAUUGGACUUUGGUACGGACUGUACAGGAUAGGUGGGAGCCUGAGAAGCCUGAGCGCCAGCUUAGGUGGAGGCGCCGUUGGGAUACCACCCUGUUCGUAUCGGAGUUCUAACCUAGGACCGUGACCCGGUUCGGGGACAGUGUCAGGUGGGUAGUUUGACUGGGGCGGUCGCCUCCUAAAGAGUAACGGAGGCGCCCCAAGGUUCCCUCAGAAUGGUUGGAAAUCAUUCGAAGAGUGCAAAGGCAUAAGGGAGCUUGACUGCGAGACCUACAAGUCGAGCAGGGACGAAAGUCGGGCUUAGUGAUCCGGUGGUUCCGCAUGGAAGGGCCAUCGCUCAACGGAUAAAAGCUACCCUGGGGAUAACAGGCUUAUCUCCCCCAAGAGUCCACAUCGACGGGGAGGUUUGGCACCUCGAUGUCGGCUCAUCGCAUCCUGGGGCUGAAGUAGGUCCCAAGGGUUGGGCUGUUCGCCCAUUAAAGCGGUACGCGAGCUGGGUUCAGAACGUCGUGAGACAGUUCGGUCCCUAUCUGUCGCGGGCGUAGGAAAUUUGAGAGGAGCUGUCCUUAGUACGAGAGGACCGGGAUGGACGCACCGCUGGUGUACCAGUUGUUCCGCCAGGAGCAUAGCUGGGUAGCUAUGUGCGGAAGGGAUAAGCGCUGAAAGCAUCUAAGCGUGAAGCCCCCCUCAAGAUGAGAUUUCCCAAUUAGUAAGACCCCUUGAAGACGACGAGGUAGAUAGGUUGGAGGUGGAAGCACAGCAAUGUGUGGAGCUGACCAAUACUAAUCGGUCGAGGGCUUAUCCUA
rnacentral:rRNA from 1 species